rnacentral:rRNA from 1 species
GAUGAACGCUGGCGGCGUGCCUAAUACAUGCAAGUCGAGCGAUCAGACGAGGAGCUUGCUCCUCUGACGUUAGCGGCGGACGGGUGAGUAACACGUGGAUAACCUACCUAUAAGACUGGGAUAACUUCGGGAAACCGGAGCUAAUACCGGAUAAUAUAUUGAACCGCAUGGUUCAAUAGUGAAAGACGGUUUUGCUGUCACUUAUAGAUGGAUCCGCGCCGCAUUAGCUAGUUGGUAAGGUAACGGCUUACCAAGGCGACGAUGCGUAGCCGACCUGAGAGGGUGAUCGGCCACACUGGAACUGAGACACGGUCCAGACUCCUACGGGAGGCAGCAGUAGGGAAUCUUCCGCAAUGGGCGAAAGCCUGACGGAGCAACGCCGCGUGAGUGAUGAAGGUCUUCGGAUCGUAAAACUCUGUUAUUAGGGAAGAACAAAUGUGUAAGUAACUAUGCACGUCUUGACGGUACCUAAUCAGAAAGCCACGGCUAACUACGUG